rnacentral:rRNA from 1 species
UACGUAGGAGGCGAGCGUUGUCCGGAGUUAUUGGGCGUAAAGGGUGCGUAGGUGGCGCCGUAAGUCAGGUGUGAAAUUUCGGAGCUUAACUCCGAAACUGCAUUUGAUACUGCGGUGCUUGAGGACUGGAGAGGAGACUGGAAUUUACGGUGUAGCAGUGAAAUGCGUAGAGAUCGUAAGGAAGACCAGUGGCGAAGGCGGGUCUCUGGACAGUUCCUGACACUGAGGCACGAAGGCCAGGGGAGCAAACGGG